CUAAAUAUAUGUGAAAAUUUUUAGUAAUUUUGCGUCUGGCAAAGGGGAAGAACAUUUAGUUUUCUUUUUUCUGACGAUAUAUUUGCAGGUAAAAGAAGAAGUUCCUUCUGUAUCCUGUAAAAAAUAAAGCCUGAGAAAAAAAAGUCAAAACACAGCAAAACUAUCUACAAGUCUCUAAGAUCCAUAGCUCUAGAAGUCGCA
rnacentral:lncRNA from 1 species